ACCCUUGCACCCGCCCCGCCCGCCGCCUAUAUCUGGGCUGUCGGGGGCGACCUCGACUAUGGACAUAAACGCGCUCGUAAUAAGCGGCUCGGACCCGGGGGCGGUACCCGGCGGCUCCACCAAAUACUCCCUUGUUGGGGGAGCAUGGGGCCGAAACAGGAUCGACGAACGUCUAAAGGGGUUAUGCUUUGUCCCGGUGAGGUACCACCGUUAUCGGUCCGAAAUGUACAGUUGCCAACAACAACCGUGCUCCGGCAAUGGCUCUGGCUGCGUAAGCAGUUCGAGUCGCCGAAACUAAGCCCUUGCGCUUAGCAGCGUAAGGCGGGGUUCGCAGGUACCUGGCAACAGAAACCUGCACC
rfam:Defluviimonas alba strain cai42, complete genome.